CUUAGGACCGUUAUAGUUACGGCCGCCGUUUACUGGGGCUUCGAUUCAGAGCUUCUCCCAAAGGAUAACCCCUCCUCUUAACCUUCCAGCACCGGGCAGGCGUCAGCCCCUAUACUUCGCCUUGCGGCUUCGCAGAGACCUGUGUUUUUGCUAAACAGUCGCCUGGGCCUAUUCACUGCGGCUCUCUCGGGCUAUACACCCUACCAGAGCACCCCUUCUCCCGAAGUUACGGGUCAUUUUGCCGAGUUCCUUAACGAGAGUUCUCUCGAUCACCUUAGGAUUCUCUCCUCGCCUACCUGUGUCGGUU
rnacentral:rRNA from 1 species